UCAAUAAGUGGCCAGCACUGGCCUGAGUCAGCUAAUUGUGCAUAAUUGGGAUUAUGCAGCAGGAAUGGCACUCCUCUCUCCAAACAAAGAGAAUCAUGUGUGUGCUGUUUCAGGUGACCACGGAUCUCUCCUCGCCAGUGAAAGUGGAAACUUGCUCUGUAGCUGCAACUGGCCAAGAUGCUUUGCAGGAUUGGAAGAAAAUGGAAAAAGGAAUAAUGUUCUCACUGUGUGAUUCAAGGUUGUGAAGUGGUGUGUCCCUGUAUCGCCUACAGUAUGCUAUGCUUUCAGAAAGGCUGGGCUGGAAAAAGAUGAAACAAAAUGUGUCACUUCCACAUGCUCCAAAGGCACCUACUGAUUACUCGUUACCUGCCUGCCCCUGUGCUGCUUCCCCCAGGAAUGGAAAGGAACAUUGCAGACAACUGACUGCAGGUGACAGACUGGGAGGAACAAUGACUCAGCAAUCCAGGAUGCCUACCAGGCCUGAGGAGAGAGGCCCAACCCCCUCACCAUCAGUGAGACAGAAAGUAAAACAAAGUGCGAAUUACAGUAAAAGCGGUUUAUCUCUUUGGCAUCCUGUCAACCAGCCCUGGGUGCAGGACCAGUGAAAUGAUAAUGGAUGCUCCUGGGGGCGACCCGGGCCUUCCCAGGGUGCCGCAGCUUCUGAGUCAUCCUGGAAAGUUGAGAUGAAUUUCUGCAGAGUUCUAGCAUUGAACAGAUGUUCCAUAAACUGAACCUUUGCAAACGAGCUCUUUGCGUGCGGUCUCUGCUUUGAAACCCUAUUCAAGCAAGGAUUUGCUCAGCCAGGAGAUGAUGACUAGAAAUGAAAGUCCAGGAAGAACACUCUUGCAUUCUGUGCUUGCUGUCAUUGUUCAGGUGCCUCACGGUGGAUUAAGGUGGCCACAGAUUCUUCUCAUUUUCCCCUCUGAGAGGUGGGGGUUAGUUUCCUGCCCCUUGAAGGUGGGCUGGUGCCACUAGACUAGGAUAGAAGGGACAUGAUGACAGGUCCAGGCCCAGAUGUAAGCGGGCUGGCAGCCUCCACUUUGGCUGUCUCAUACGUAGCCCUUUCUCUUGGGGUCUGACCACCAGGUGAAGAAGUCCGAAGUGGCCCUGGGGGCAGACCACGCGGAGACGCAGAGAAGGCCCAGCCUGCCGGUCUCGCUGCCCGCCACGUGCCAGGCGUGGGAGAGAAGUCGGCUUAGGUGGCUGCACCUGCGUGGGAGAUGCCAAAGGAGAGCAGAAUAGCAAUAGUGACGACUGGUCAUUGCUUUGAGCUACGAGGUUUUGGUGUGGUUUGUUAGGCAAACAACAGAUAACUGAAAGAAGCCUUGUUUUUUUUUUAACUAAAACAUUAUAAAAAUAUUUAUUAAUUCAUUUUAAAACAACUAAUAACUCCAUUGCCUAAAUAGUAUUUAUGUUAAUUUUUUGUUUGUUUUUUAAAAAUUAUUUUGGUAAAAUGUACAUAACAUAAAGUUUACCAUUUUAACCAUUUUGAUAUGUAUUGUUCAGUGGCAAACGUACAUUCACGUGGCUGGACAACCAUCCCGCUGCCCAUUUCCAGAACAUUUUUACUGUUCCCAAUGGAAACACUGUACCCAGUAAAUACUAACUGCCAAUCCUUCCUCUCCCAAACCCUGGCAUCCACCGUUCCACUUUUUGUCUCUGUGAAUUCAACUGCACUAGGGACCUCAUAGAAGUGGAAUAAUCCUUGUGGUUUUAACCUUUAUGUUUUAUAAAACCUCUUACCCACUGCGAUGGCUAAUUUUAUGUGUUGACUGGGCCACAAGGUGCCCAGCUAUCUGAUCAAACAUCAUUCUGAGUGUUUCUGGGAGGCUAUUUUUGGAUGAGAUUGGCAUUUAAAUCUGUAGGCUGAGUGAAGCAGGCCCUCCGUAAUGUGGGUGGGCCUCGUCUCAUCAGUGAAAGGCCCGACUAGAACACAAGGCUGACCCUCUGCCAAGUGAGAGAAAGUUCUGCUGCCUGACAGCCUGCAGACCGGGACAUCAGCUCUUCCUGGUUCUAUCGUAGCUUCUGGCGUUAGGACUGGGACAUCAGCUUCGCAGACUUCGGACUUACCAGUCUCCAUAAUCAU